rnacentral:lncRNA from 1 species
AUUUGCAUUUGCAAUUGAGCUGUCUGAAAAUCGUAGUAAAUAAUUUUUGUGACGUCCCAUGCAAUUGCAAAUGUAUUUGCAAAGACUACAUUUGUGACAGUAGUGCCGGUCCUGCGAUUUUAGAGGCUUGAGGCAAAUUUCAUAAAUUAGGCCCUCAAAAUUGUACCAUACACGCAAAAUUUAUAAGCAUAUCAUGGAACCAAUUGUUAACUUGUUAACUUAAAAAGUAACAGUAAACAAAAAAAAAGUGUUAUAAAUUUUUUAUUAUAAUCUACUAACAUAGUAGGCAACGUUCCAAAAGAUCAACUAAAUACUAUUUGCCUUGCAGUUUUACAGGGUCUUCCAAAUUUUUACGUUGAACAUUAUCUUCAUCAUUUUCAUCUAUUUCAUUUACAUUGACAAGUUGAAUCACUUUUUCACUCUUAGCAAAUUCAUUCGCAUUUUUUUUUUAAAUAUUUGUCAAUAUUUCCUGCUUGACUUUGAAUUAAUGUCAUCUCAUUUCGUUUCCUUUUUCUUUUUUUGAGCUCCAGACUCAUAUUUAGGAGGCAUGGUAUAAGAAUGUUGUCCAAUGAUUAACCUAAAAUUGAUAAUAAUAAAACAUUUUAAUCAUCUCGCAAUUAAAAUCUUCAACAUAAUCACUAUGUACGCCUGUGCAAUUGGUCCUACAAUUAAAAGCUAAUAAAAGUCAAUAUAACCCGACAAGGGUACAAUACCGCAAUGUAAUCAUAUAAGCCGAAAAGGCCAAAAUAAUAUAAGUCGGCCAUGUUUCAAAUAUUUCUUAAUAAAUAAGUAAGGGCAAGUCAUUGCUUACCUGAGAAGUAUGACUUGAACAAAAAUUAUGAAAUGACAAUUCGAUACUUUGAGAAUUUCACCGUCGCAACUCACAAUCCUAAAAUUAAAAUUUAACAGCAACCAUAACAACCAAUGAGAAUAAGUUUCUAAAAACUAACGGAAGUCAUUGUUCGAAAAUUAAAAUCCAAUUUCACACUUCAGAUAGCAUUCAUGUAAAGGUAAUUGACACGCUUCUACUUGAAUUUGACAAGAAAUUUCAAAGGUGAACUCAUACCAAAAUGUCGGGCCAAUCGAACAGAAUAAUAAAAGAAAUAAAGAAUAAAUGUGACCUUCAUUAUUUAGAGGGAAAAAAAUAAAAAGCCUAAAUGAGAAGGGAUCAUAGUUUUUCAUAUGAUAAAUUUAACAACAUUAAAGAACAAGCUUAUUAAAAUCUUAAGUUUCUGGAGGAAAAAAAUAGUUGCAAAGUGAACAACGUUAAACAGCAAAUGAAUUUGGUGAUUUCUCCAAUAGUUGAAAAGCGUAGCAAGGCUGUGGAAACAUCAACAAACAGAUAUAUCAUUCCUGAUUCCUGUAUAAUUUUGCAGAGGAAUUGUCUUUGAAAUUAGUUUGAGAUUCCUAUUAUGUAGUCCUGAAUAACACAUACAGAAUCGGGAAUUCUGACUUCUGAGGCAAGAGAACAAGAAACACAUCUAAAUUCAAAGUCUAAUGAUUUAUUACUUAUUCCUCCACAAAAUUUUGAGAAACAAAAGCCAAUUAUCUAUUCCAAGGUUUUAUUUAGCACUGAUGUUCAUGUAAUCAUCAUUACUAAGAAUUAAUUCAGAAACCACAACAAAGAAUCAAUUAAAUCACCAAAAAGGAAAACCCCCAUAAUUCCUAUGAACAGAAUGUCAAAAACCACAAACCCGACAACACAAAUCCGAUUAACGUAGGUAGAGGCGGUUGGACGGUGCUGGACAGUCAACGGACGGCACUCAGAGAAGUAAGAAGAUCGCCUUUUGUCCUUGUAACAUCGUUUGGCGGUUAGGGUUGUUCAAUAAUUUGGAUUUUGAUUUGCAGGAGACAAGGAGCCGAACGACAGUGGAUACCAAUGCCAAGAAAUCUGUUAUUCCAUUUUUAGGGAGGGGGGAUGGAAUUCAGAGGCCCUUUAAAUUAUCGGGUCUGAGGCAUGGGCCUCAUAUGCCUCAUAACAGGACCAGGCCUGUGACAGACCAUUUUUCGAAAGGCAUUUUGCUC